CCUACGGGAGACAGCAGUGAGGAAUAUUGGUCAAUGGACGAGAGUCUGAACCAGCCAAGUAGUGUGAAGGAUGACUGCCCUAUGGGUUGUAAACUUCUUUUAUAUGGGAAUAAAACGUUCCACGUGUGGGAUUUUGUAUGUACCAUAUGAAUAAGGAUCGGCUAACUCCGUGCCAGCAGCCGCGGUAAUACGGAGGAUCCGAGCGUUAUCCGGAUUUAUUGGGUUUAAAGGGAGCGUAGGUGGAUUGUUAAGUCAGUUGUGAAAGUUUGCGGCUCAACCAUAAAAUUGCAGUUGAAACUGGCAGUCUUGAGUACAGUAGCGGUGGGCGGAAUUCGUGGUGUAGCGGUGAAAUGCUUAGAUAUCACGAAGAACUCCGAUUGCGAAGGCAGUUCACUGGACUGCAACUGACACUGAGGCUCGAAAGUGUGGGUAUCAAACAGGAUUAGAUACCCCAGUAGUC
rnacentral:rRNA from 1 species